AAAACAGGGGCGCCGAAAGGCUGAGAUCCGCUUGCGCGGAGCACCCUCCAACCUGAUCCGGGUAAUGCCGGCGUAGGUAAGU
rnacentral:ncRNA from 1 species